rnacentral:rRNA from 1 species
UACGAAGGGGGCUAGCGUUGCUCGGAAUCACUGGGCGUAAAGCGCACGUAGGCGGCUUCUUAAGUCAGGGGUGAAAUCCUGGAGCUCAACUCCAGAACUGCCUUUGAUACUGAGGAGCUUGAGUCCGGGAGAGGUGAGUGGAACUGCGAGUGUAGAGGUGAAAUUCGUAGAUAUUCGCAAGAACACCAGUGGCGAAGGCGGGUCUCUGGGCCGAUAUUGACGCUGAGGAGCGAAAGCGUGGGGAGCGAACAGG